CAGGCUCCUCUACACAACUUGCAAAAUCUCUCCCUGAAUUCAAGCAGAUCUCAGGGUCCUUAGAGACAUAUUGGCCCAGGAUUUCUCGAUUAACCCAUGCAAGAAAGGAUUGUUAUAAUGUUCCUGCCAAAAACUCUUGCAGGGUUAAAUCUGUAUCUGAGACCAUCUGAAAGCACAAGCUACAGGCCAACAGUAUGAUUGACACAACUGUAUAUGUGGUGAAAUAUGAUCGAUACAUACCAGACUUAUGCCACAUCUUUUACGGUUGACCAGGUACAGGCAAAAUGCAAUUUAAGGUGUGAACCUUGAAAGAAUAGUGAACAAAUGACUUUUAUUUAACAAUUUCUUAUAAUACGUAUUGGCAUGUAAAAAUGUAAGAAGCUCCAAAUAUGUAUUUUCCAAGCAAUUUUUCAAGUCAGAAAUGAAAAUUUUGCAUUUGGAUUUAG
rnacentral:lncRNA from 1 species